GCCUGGGUGGCUCAGUCGGUUGAGCAUCCGACUUCGGCUCAGGUCAUGAUCUCGCGGUCCGUGGGUUCAAGCCCCGCGUCGGGCU
rnacentral:tRNA from 1 species